AGAAGGGAUAGUGCCAGAAUGCCAAGUGGCAAUUUCCCAAUAUAUGUUAUGGGAUAGCACUAAUAAUUAUCUGCUUGUUCAGUGGGAACCAACCAGUCUGGAACCACACUGAUUUGUAGCUCUUUGGGAAAUGUGUGUGCAUUGCUAAAAAGUGCAUUACCCUAGCUAUGCCCUUUGGUAGGUAUUGAAAGACAGGCUUCAUUUCCUAAUUUCUCUUGCUUUUGCAUAUUUAAUAUCUAUGUAAUUCUUUCGUUGUAGUUUCAAAGGUUUUUAAAAGGUUACAAAAGAGGGAAGGAUGAGGGGUUAAAGCAAGCAGUAUGAGCACCCUACGUAAGUCACUGGCAGGCUUUAAAGUUUAGGUUCCUGUGUCACCUUGAAUCCCACAGGAGCAAAAUGCUAAUCGGUGGGUGUUUUUUUUUAAGUGUACCUGCCACUAGAGGGGAAUGGAAGCACAUGUUUUGCCCCCAGAAAAGUGAUGUCCCGAUUGUAGCCUUGGGUCUUGGAAGUGCCUGUUCUCCCACAGUUCUCUCUGUUCCUUCUCUUUCCAGCCCAUGUAUUCUCCCCAGCUUUGGUCUCCACUUCUGUCCCAAAGUCUCUCCUAUUCUUCUAUUGCUUCUUCCCACAAACUGUCCUGUUAAGUCAUCUGUGAUACCCUUCCUUUUGUGUCAGUUUGUUUUUCCUUCCAUUUCCGCCCUUCUGUCCUCAAAGCCUGGUUCUGCGCUCUUCCCUGCCUUGUGCUCCCAAAGUCAUUCUGUACUGCAUGACCUUCCCCUUCCCGUUCCCUUACCCUUACCCCUUCCCUUUCCCCUUCCCUUUCCCCUUCCCCUUCCCACAUAAGAGGUCUAAAAUGGAGAGAUAUGAAAAAACUCGUAACUUUUUUCAGGGUAAUAGAUAUAUGUAAUUUUUUUUUAAAUUAAUGAACUGUGUCUGAUAUUUCACCAUGAGGUGGAUAGAUAUCCAAAACUUUCAGCCCAGUGACCCCAUGUUUGCUAAACUGAUAAGCAAGACCUUAAUUUCUGUAGUUCUGUAAACAGGAGUUAGAAUUUUCACAACCUAACACAUGCUGUUCACUGUUUGUGGGAAAGAAGUUGCUGGAUAAUUAAUGAAGACAAGUAAGUAAGGCUGAAAAGGUAUUUGUUAAAGUUUCCUUUGAGUUAAGAAGUUCAACAUUUGUUAAGACAGAAAUGAUGGUAAAGAGAGUGACAGGAUCAGCAGUUAUUAAUUGCCUAAUGCAGGAAUGGUGCCACUAUUUACAAAUAUUUAAAUGAGUUUUCAGGACACACCUGUCAGGCUGAGAUUGCCAUCUGGUCAACUUGCAUGAACUUAGAAACUGAAACAAGCCUUGUGUUGUAUGUGUGUGCUUGAUGAUUAACAAGUGAGUGAUGCUGAGCUGUGUGCUACCCUGAGCAUAUGCCAGAAAACCCAGGGAAAUCAAUAUUACAAUCCAGCCAUUCAUCUCCUCCAUAGAAAUUCUCCCAGUGAUGCAGUGAGGGAUGAGGAAUGAAAGACUUUUAUUAUAAUGACUGUCUGCAAAAACAUUAAUUACCUCUAUCAUGUAUAAAUAGACCUGUAUUUUUCAUUUUUCGUGACCAAAGUGAUUGACCUAAAACCACUUGAUCCCAAUUAAGAGUGACGAGAAGGAAGUGAGUAAUAUUUUUCUGUGGCUCACAUGGUCUACUGUGCUUUAUCCUGAAAAAAAUGCAACACUCCAAAUAAACCUCAGACAUUCUCACACCACGGCUACAAAAUAGCUGGUUAAGAGUGAUUAAUCCCACUGAUACCCCACAAUGAUAAAAGAAUAUAUUUUAUAGCUGCUGAGACCUUACUGAAGUCAUUUCUCUAAAGAAUAAAAUGAUGGACUGUAUAGAUACAUUACAGUUAAAAAGAAUAACUUUUGCUAAAAUCCUAAGUGAAAUGAAAGGAAAAGUAUCAGAAUGCUUUUGUGCAUUUAAAAGGUUGCAAAAUAUUUCUUAGAGAUUAAAAUGAAAAAAUAUUCUAAAUGUCUAAGCUGUGUAAAUACCUUGAAAAAUAAAAAUGUGACAAGGACUUUAAGUUAAUCAGAGCCAUCUUUUAAAGUGGUCUUUAAAGUGGUCUUUAAAGUAGGACAGAUAUAUUUAUUUUUUAUAUGAUUGUUUUCUCUUUAACAAGUUAAAAUAUAAAGAAGGAUGAAUUCUUCCUAGUACUGUGUCCAUAAAAGGUUAGGUAACACACAUUAAUUAGAAAUUGCCAUCUGUUCUGUCCAAAAUCUGCAUUUGCAGGGCUGACAUGAGCAGAAUUUUGUAACUUAAAACUAGUGAGAAAGGCACCAGGUAUGAAAUGAGGUUUCAAGUGUUGUAUACACGCCUUAAUAGAUGGGCCAUUGUUAAAGCAAAUUACGUAGGGCAGCAGGUUCAACGCUUCCAUGGACUUUUGUCUGCAAAAAAUUCAAUUUUACCUGCCCUCAGAAAUAUGUAAUGCUUUUAUGUGCCAAAGCUUUCUAGGAAAGUCCCAGCAGUAUCUCUGUUUCUGUUCCUAGAUGCGUUCUCAGCCACCUAGGUUGAAGGCAGCUGCCUCUAAUUCCUGCCUAAGUCGUACAGGCCUCUCAGUUCGGUACUUCACACACCUCACCUUCAGGAGUUCAUCUGGCAGCCAUGCACAGAGCAUGACUGAAUUGCAUACAAAGUUUGUAUUUUGGCAUUUUGGAAGAGCUGCAUGGAAGGAGGAGACCCCUGUUGCAGCUCCCAGCUGAAACCUGAUCUCUCCCCUUCUAGGAGGGUGCUAUAACCAUUACAGUAUGUGUGUUCUAAGAUUGCACUCAAUUAGAGUCCUCUACCCAAAAAAUGAAUGUGCAGUGAGAAGCAGUGUGAAUUUGCAGCACCCUUGCCACUCCAAGCCAGCUUCCCACAUGGGAAUUAAUUUGCACAUUUCAUUUUUGGUAAGGUGCCUUUUAGAGAGGCGCUUGCAUUGCGCACUCUUGCUACACAGAGCCUCUGCUGGCAUCGGAUCUUGAGCUGUAAUUUACUGACCAACAUAUUCAACUCUGCCUCCCCUGACAUUGCCCUUUGAGCCAGAGGAAAGCCAGCUAGCACUGAUGAACUUGUGAUUCCUCUGUCCUUCAGGUUAGGCAGUAGUAGAUGAAAAAAUUGUAAACAUACAGAAAUACGGGUGUGGAAGUUGGUAAUUAAGAGGAAGAGAGGUAAUAGCUUGUAAAGCUGCCUUUUUGUUUGAAGUGGUCACCUGUGGUUUAAGCAGACCAUUUUGACUUCGCACAGAAAAAGACUGAGAGUUUGCUGAGAGACCUUUUCCAAAGCCAGAACAGUACAGCGGGGAUGAAGUGUUUGAGUUCUUCUACCCUCUUUCACUGCAAGGUCAAGUAGCACAAUCUGAGUGCAUUAAAACAUAAUAUUUGAAUCUUGUGGAAUGAUUUUAUUUUUCCUGAGUGAAACUGGAAAAAUCAACAUUUUGCCAUGAUAUAGCCAAUAUGGAAAUUUCAAUAGAAAAAAUACAUCUUAUCUGAUCAUGUUGUGCAAAAUCUAAGGCUUGGUUAUUUUGCAAGUCAUUCAUUUGUGAAUGUAGAUAUAAGAGCCAUCUGUUAAGCAUUCAGCCUUCUAAUACAUUUUGACUUUAAAGUGCUGUAUGCUGCUGUGAGAAAUUAAAAUGUUUUAAUUAUCCCCUUAUGCCUAAUCAUUGUGCUUUCAAUGAAGCUCCUAAGAAUUUUAGCACCUUUUAGGACAGGUAAGUAUGGAUCUACACUCCCACUCAGGUAUAAUCAAUAUUGUUAACCAAUAUUGUGAAAUUGUAACGAAGAUAUAGAAUAUAGUUGCAUCACGGUGUGCAGUUUUGGGACCAUUGCCAUGCAUAGUUUUUAAUGUUGCUCAGGUAGCUUGCUUGCCUGUUAUUCAGCCAGUCACAGUUUUACUGUCUCUUGCCUUUCCUCUCUUUCUUUUCACACACACUCACAUUUUUCUUAUAAAUGCAUCUGCAGAAGAAUGGAUGUGUAGUGUCCCACAUGUCUCAGUGGGAGCCCAACACAAUUCAAGGAAUUAGCAGUUAAGGUUGCCAUACUUAACGCAGAAACUACAAGCAGCUUCCUAUUUUUACUCAGGCCUGAACACAUUAGGCCCACUCUAACAUGGCAGAAUACCCUGCUGAUCUCUGCUAUGUGUUCAACAAGGUUAAGUGGUCUAAUAUCUGUUUAAAUCUUAUGUUUUAUGAUAGAGAGGAUAUGUGCUUGUUUUCUCAUCUGUUUUUCAUGUUUUUCCCUUGGAGGGGACGGGUAACCAUGAAGAAGUCGGAAAUCUCUUUCUUAGAACCAAUAUUGCAGUCACUGGUGAGGCUGCACCUGGAGUGCUGUGCUCAGUUUUGGGCCCCUCACUUCCAAAAGGACACUGAGGUGCUGGAGCCUGUCUCAUGAAGGGCAGUGACGGUUGUGAAGAGUUUAGAAAAUAUGUCUGAUGAGCGGCUGAGGGAGCUGCAGGUGUUCAUCUGGAGAAAAGGAACCGUGGGGAGACUUUAUGGCUCUCUACCUAAAAGGAGGAUCUAGCCAGGACCCAGGCCCAUGAGGUGUUGAACAUUUCUGAUGAGGAAUCAGGUACCUUCAACAUUAUUUGGCAGAGUGUAUUCCAAAGCAGCUGGAACAAUAUUUGCCUUCCACAGAGGUCUGGCAAUAGAAGUCUUCAAUGGAGGAAGUUCUGUGCUCCCUGGGAAGUGUGGGAUUCAGUACUGUCGUUGAAGGAAGGAUGAGGAAACGGUUUGAGCCACUGGAUAUCAGGCAGCAUGGUUGCUGUACUAAUGAAAAUUUGGAACACCGUUGCAAACUGGAGUGUUUGGCAGAAGCAGGAAUUUCUCUGUGCUGUUUAUGAGGUAUAUAAAAAGACACAUUAAACUCUUUGCCAGAGAUGUCGACUUUCCUGAACAAGCCUUUCAAGUCUUGCAAACUAUCUGUUGUUUUCCCAGUAGGCUAAUUAGGGUGGAUUAGCGCCCAUCAGAUAUGCCCUAGGGAUGAGCCAAAAGCUGAAGAGGAAGGUAAAUUGCAGUGUCAAAACUUCCACCUCUGUGCGGCCUGAGACACAAGACCAGAGUCUGUGAUUUCUUUCAGGACAAGUUUGGCUAAAAAAGGUUUCACUCAGCUCUCUUCUUCUCAAGGAGACUAAAAGGAAGACUUAAUGAAGAGACCCUCACACAACUCUUGGAAGAUGUCUGUAGGGAUCCUGUUCUUUUAAAUGAUAUGGCCAAGCCUCAAAAGCGUUUCCUGAUUCCAGCUCAUCACAAACUGACUGUUUUACUGUUUCUGGCUGAGCACAUACCUACAUCAGGAUAAUGCACUUGUACUGAGUGUGAGAAUACUGCAAUCUUGUGUAUGACAAAGCCAGGCUCAUAAGCACAGCAGAUGAAAGGGAGGAGCAUCUGCUUGUGGGAAACUCUCCUACACUGCCAAUGACAAUAAUAAUAACAAUGGCAGUAGAAAUGACAAUUUCUCCAAUCUUUAUGGUGACUAAGAGCUUUAGUAGGAAACACGGAUGAUACUCUGUCUGUACAAGAUACCUAUUUGUUUCUCUUCUGAGGCAGAGAGGAAUCCAGCCAACAGAAUGGUCAUGUAGUUCAGCCUGUGAGGAAAAAAUAAGUAUAUUCCUUUCCUAUAAACAAACUAAUUGGGCUUUUUGUUGUGACCAACGAGAAUAUAACUGGAGCUGCACAAAUCAAUUUUCUUAAGACCAAAGGAAGCUGGCAGGGAACCCUGGAAAGCCACUUCUGAUCUGUACAAAGCUGAACAAACCCCAGCACUGAAGAACUUGAAGGCGAAUGCUGGCAGAGACCACAGUGGCCUUUUAAAAUCUAAAUCCAGAGGGAAUAAUUCAGAGACCAAGUCAUCAAAUUUGGAAUAUAUGCCAUAUCUGGACUCAAAGAUCAGUUCCUGGCAACACUAACUCUGCUCUUCCUUGUUCAGAAGGAAUGUCACAGAGGCCUUUGCAGUUUUUCACAGGAAAUGCAAGAGUCACUGUGUUAGUAUAAUCACUAGCCCAGAUAACCAGUAUAAUGAUGCAUUUGGAGCUGGGUUUUCACAAGAUUGUGGAAGAUUUGAGACAUUCAAGACUUGCUUGGCAAACCCCUGGAAAAUUGCAAGUUUUACUAGUUUAAUGGUGUACAGACCUCUGUCUCCUCACCAACAAAACAAUAUUUUACAACAUCCAGGAUUCAUGAGAUCACACAUAUUUUCCCCAAAGCUGAUGAAUUACAGGUUACCUCUUUGAGUUGGAGACCAGAAGUGAAGAAGAGAACCAGAUCCAAAUGGCACAAAAGCAAAUGUAGGCUGAGCUGUGAUCUCCGUGACGUUUGGACUGCAGGGUCACAGGUGCACUGGCCUGCAGGAGAGAGUCACUGAUGCUGGAGAGGGCAGAGAUGCUGCAAGAAACUUAUUUAAGCCAACCUUCAAAUCUGUGUGACUGAAGAUCCUGAGUCAUGAGGAGGAGCAGGUGAAAGGGGGAGAUGGCAGCAGGAAGGAU